AGCCCAUUCCAGGCAGAGGACAAAUAAAAUUGUUCCAAGUAGUGGGCUAGAGUGAGGAGGAGAAAGAAGGAGAGGAGAGGAAGAAUUGAGAGAAGGAUGAUGGGAAGAUACAGUGAAGAGAGAGAUGGGAGGGAUACAGUGCAGAGAGAUGGAGGAGGGAUGCAGUGCAGAGAGAGAUAGAGGAGGGGCACAGUGCAGAGAGAGAUGGAGGAGGUAUGCAGUGCAGAGAGAUGGAGGAGGUAUGCAGUGCAGAGAGAUGGAGGAGGGAUGCAGUACAUAGAGAGAUGGAGGAGGGGCACAGUGAAGAGAGAGAUGGGAGGGAUACAGUGCAGAGAGAGAUGGAGGAGGGACACAGUGCAGAGAGAGAUGGAGGAGGUAUGCAGUGCAGAGAGAUGGAGGAGGGAUACAGUGCAGAGAGAGAUGGAGGAGUGAUACAGUGCAGAGAGAUGGAGGAGGGAUGCAGUGCAGAGAGAGAUAGAGGAGGUAUGCAGUGCAGAGAGAUGGAGGAGGGAUGCAGUGCAGAGAGAAAUGGUGGAGGGACACAGUGCAGAGAGAUGGAGGAGGGACACAGUGUAGAGAGAUGGAGGAGAGAUGCAGUGCAGAGAGAGGGAGGAAGGACACAGUGCAGAGAGAGAUAGAUGGAGGAGGGACAUAGUGCAGAGAGAGAUGGAGGAGAGAUGCAGUGAAGAGAGAGAUGGAGGAGGGAGGAGUAUAGCUGUGCUAAAUGUCAAUUAGAAGUGAUCAGGCCCACAGACAACUGGUGUGAGAUCUUUUGGUAGACUACCAGCUGGACAGCCGUGA
rnacentral:lncRNA from 1 species